GAGGUUUGUGACUGAGUGGCGGACGGGUGAGUAACGCGUGGGUAACCUGCCUCAUACAGGGGGAUAACAGUUAGAAAUGACUGCUAAUACCGCAUAAGACCACGGAGCCGCAUGGCUCCGUGGGAAAAACUCCGGUGGUAUGAGAUGGACCCGCGUCUGAUUAGGUAGUUGGUGGGGUAACGGCCUACCAAGCCAACGAUCAGUAGCCGACCUGAGAGGGUGACCGGCCACAUUGGGACUGAGACACGGCCCAAACUCCUACGGGAGGCAGCAGUGGGGAAUAUUGCACAAUGGGGGAAACCCUGAUGCAGCGACGCCGCGUGAGCGAAGAAGUAUUUCGGUAUGUAAAGCUCUAUCAGCAGGGAAGAAAAUGACGGUACCUGACUAAGAAGCACCGGCUAAAUACGUGCCAGCAGCCGCGGUAAUACGUAUGGUGCAAGCGUUAUCCGGAUUUACUGGGUGUAAAGGGAGCGUAGACGGCUGUGUAAGUCUGAAGUGAAAGCCCGGGGCUCAACCCCGGGACUGCUUUGGAAACUAUGCAGCUAGAGUGUCGGAGAGGUGAGUGGAAUUCCCAGUGUAGCGGUGAAUGCGUAGAUAUUGGGAGGAACACCAGUGGCGAAGGCGGCUUACUGGACGAUGACU
rnacentral:rRNA from 1 species